CCCUUAGAUGUUCGGAGCUGCACGCGCGCUACACUGACGGAGGCAGCGAGCGUGUCCUUCGCCGGCAGGUGCGGGCAAUCUUGCGAGUCUCCGUCGUGCUGGGGAUAGAUGGUUGCAAUUGUCGAUCUUGAACGAGGAAUUCCUAGUAAGCGCGAGUCAUCAGCUCGCGCUGAUUACGUCCCUGCCCUUUGUACACACCGCCCGUCGCUACUACAGAGUGCCCGUGUCCAAGAAACGGUCGGACCUGUGCGGCCUCUCCGGGCGACCGGAGGGCCGUUACGGGGAAGACCCUUUAUUUGACGCGGGUCGAUGAAGUAAAAGUCGUAACA
rnacentral:rRNA from 1 species